CGGACGGUAGCACAGAGGAGCUUGCUCCUUGGGUGACGAGUGGCGGACGGGUGAGUAAUGUCUGGGGAUCUGCCCGAUAGAGGGGGAUAACCACUGGAAACGGUGGCUAAUACCGCAUAACGUCGCAAGACCAAAGAGGGGGACCUUCGGGCCUCUCACUAUCGGAUGAACCCAGAUGGGAUUAGCUAGUAGGCGGGGUAAUGGCCCACCUAGGCGACGAUCCCUAGCUGGUCUGAGAGGAUGACCAGCCACACUGGAACUGAGACACGGUCCAGACUCCUACGGGAGGCAGCAGUGGGGAAUAUUGCACAGUGGGCGCAAGCCUGAUGCACCCAUGCCGCGUGUAUGAAGAAGGCCUUCGGGUUGUAAAGUACUUUCAGCGGGGAGGAAGGCGGUGAGGUUAAUAACCUCGCCGAUUGACGUUACCCGCAGAAGAAGCACCGGCUAACUCCGUGCCAGCAGCCGCGGUAAUACGGAGGGUGCAAGCGUUAAUCGGAAUUACUGGGCGUAAAGCGCACGCAGGCGGUCUGUUAAGUCAGAUGUGAAAUCCCCGGGCUUAACCUGGGAACUGCAUUUGAAACUGGCAGGCUUGAGUCUCGUAGAGGGGGGUAGAAUUCCAGGUGUAGCGGUGAAGUGCGUAGAGAUCUGGA
rnacentral:rRNA from 1 species